UAGGGAAAUAAGGAGCUAACAUUACAGAAAAUGGAUAAAAAAAAUGAAAAACCGAGAAAAAAACCAAAUUAUAAUAAGGAUAGCGAAUAACGUGCAGAAUAGAGAAUAAUGAGCAAAAUUUAUAAAGUCUUAAAAGAUUAUAGAAAAAUUAUUUAACAAAUUAAAUAAUACAUAUUACAAGAAAACCACAACCCUCUUAUGUUCUUGAUAACUCAUUUUAGAGUAACACUGAAUUCACGAUCAUAGCGCAAUCGUAAAGAAAUUGAGACAAAAUGGUGUGCAUCAGCGGGA
rnacentral:lncRNA from 1 species